GCAGUGGUGGUUCAGUGGUAGAAUUUUCGUCUUCUAUGCGGGAGACCUGGGUUUGAUUCCCAGCCACUGCA
rnacentral:tRNA from 1 species